ACUCUGUGAUGAGAAUUAGCCAAAUCUGAGCACCAAAAAGAUCAACUGGUCUGUGUGGUGCAUGAUUUGUAAUCUGUUCUGGGA